rnacentral:rRNA from 1 species
UACAGAGGUCCCAAGCGUUGUUCGGAUUCAUUGGGCGUAAAGGGUGCGUAGGCGGCGCUGUAAGUCGGGUGUGAAAUUUCGGAGCUUAACUCCGAAACUGCAUUCGAUACUGCGGUGCUCGAGGACUGGAGAGGAGACUGGAAUUCAUGGUGUAGCAGUGAAAUGCGUAGAGAUCAUGAGGAAGACCAGUGGCGAAGGCGGGUCUCUGGGCAGUAACUGACGCUGAGGAGCGAAAGCGUGGGGAGCGAACGGG